UACGUAGGGAGCAAGCGUUGUCCGGAGUCAUUGGGCGUAAAGCGCGCGUAGGUGGCUUCGUAAGUCCGUUGUGAAAGUCAAAGGCUCAACCUUUGAAAGCCGAUGGAUACUGCGGAGCUAGAGUACGGAAGAGGCGAGUGGAAUUCCUGGUGUAGCGGUGGAAUGCGCAGAUAUCAGGAGGAACACCAAUAGCGAAGGCAGCUCGCUGGGACGUUACUGACACUGAGGCGCGAAAGCGUGGGGAGCGAACAGG
rnacentral:rRNA from 1 species